GGAUCAAUAUGUCGGUCGUGCCAUCGGUACGUACUGGUAUCAUUGGUUUCUCCUUUCUGACGAACCAUGAUGUCAUUAAUUUGGUGUUAUGGGGAGUUAGGACUGUUACUUUGAAAAAAUUAGAGUGUUUAAAGCAGGCUUUAGCUUGAAUACAUUAGCAUGGAAUAAUGAAAUAGGACGUUCGAACCUAUUUUGUUGGUUUCUAGGAUCAACGUAAUGAUUAAUAGGGAUAGUUGG
rnacentral:rRNA from 1 species